rnacentral:lncRNA from 1 species
UGGGAGGCUGUUUCUCUGCGUGCUGAAGGAGACAGUUUGGGAAGAGCAUGGUACAUGGUGAGUGUGGCAGGGGUUGAGGACUGCACCUCCAGAAAUCCUGUUGGACGUCAUCCCAGGCACACUGUCACCCAGCCUCACUGUCCCACCUGUACACUGGUACAAAGGCCUCUCAGAUGCUGCUGAGAGCAUUAAGUCAGCUGGAAAUCCUUCAUCCUGGAGAUCUUUCACUGGAGCAACCCAGGCUGAGCAGAAGUCCUACCUUUGAGCUGUCUGAGCUGUCUGGUUCCACACAGCUACACUGGGAAGGACAGCAGGAAACAACCCAUAUCCCACCCAAAGUGGCUGUCCUGGGGUCUUGAGGAGGGAGACAUGGCUUUCUGCUGGAGGCCUGGGUGAAAAAGGGUAAGAAGGAGGCAGAGGGAGUGAAGGACCAAGGCUGGGAUCCUGGAAAAACAGAUGCAGGGCAGGAUGCUGCCUGUGAGUCCUUUCUUCUCUUUUUGUGAUUGUCUCUGUCUUUUCUGGCAAUAAACUGAGGCUGGCUAUUAAUAUCCAGGCACAGCAUCCUCUCUGUUUACUGGCUAUAUUUAAAGGGUGCUUCUACC